rnacentral:tRNA from 1 species
GGGGGAAUAGCUCAAAUGGUAGAGUAGGCUUAGCAACCACAAGGUCCUGGGUUCAAUCCCCAGUACCUCCU